rnacentral:ncRNA from 1 species
AACCGAUCUCGUCGGGGCUAGCGGUUCGAACUGGAUGUAUUUUAAAAUAACGUAUUAAAUAUUUAUGUAGCCUCAACGCUACAGUUCCUUAGAUCGUUUCUUCCUACUUGGAUAACUGUGGCAAUUCUAGAGCUAAUACAUGCAGUGAGCCCGAAGCCCCUCGGGGCGACAGGUGCUUUUAUUAGACCAAGAUCAAUCGGGCUUCGGUCCGUUUUGUGUGGUGACUCUGGAUAACUUUGUGCUGAUCGCACGGCCACGAGCCGGCGACGUUUCUUUCAAGUGUCUGCCUUAUCAACUGUCGAUGGUAGGUUAUGCGCCUACCAUGGUUGUUACGGGUAACGGAGAAUCAGGGUUCGAUUCCGGAGAGGGAGCCUGAGAAACGGCUACCACAUCCAAGGAAGGCAGCAGGCGCGCAAAUUACCCACUCCGGCACGGGGAGUAGUGACGAAAAA